rnacentral:rRNA from 1 species
GCCUACAGUCAUAUCACCCUAAAUGCACCUGAUCUUGUCUGAUCUUGGAAACUAGCAAGGUCGGGCCUGGUUAGUACUUCAUGGAAGAGAAAAAAAUGUAGCUA